AUAGAAAUAUAAUUGUAGGGGCCGGGGCACCCCUCUGCCUGACUGGGAGCCAUGCUGGUCAGAAGCCGAGCUUGGCCCACCUCCCUCUCAGCAUCCAUCUGUCCAGAAUCCAGCCAGUGGUCAUGACCAACCCACCAGGGGUGCAGCCACUGGUGGUUCCAGGCUGCAGGUAAAGAAAAUCUGCACAGGCUCAGCCUAGAGCAAGGAGGUGGCUUGGAGUUGGAGCAAUGAGGUGGCUCAGAGCAAGGAGUUUCCUUGGGGUGAAAAAAUG
rnacentral:other from 1 species